rnacentral:rRNA from 1 species
GUAGGGUUCAAGCGUUAUCCGGAUUUAUUGGGCGUAAAGCACAUGUAGGUGGAUUGAUACGUCUUGGCUUAAAGCUCUGGGCUCAACCCAGAAUCUGGCUGAGAUACGGUCUUUCUUGUGGUCAGCAGGGGCAAACGGAAUUCCCGGUGUAGGAGUGAAAUCCGUUGAUAUCGGGAGGAACACCAAUGGCGAAGGCAGUUUGCUAGGCUGAUUCAGACACUGAGAUGUGAAAGCGUGGGGAGCGAACGGGAUUAGAUACCCCGGUAGUCCACGCCGUAAACGAUGCACACUAGGCAUUGGGAGUAUCGACCCUUCUUGUGCCGAAGCUAACGCGUUAAGUGUGCCGCCUGGGAAGUACGGUCGCAAGACUA